rnacentral:rRNA from 1 species
GAAAUCAAACGAGACUCCCAAAGUAGCGGCGAGCGAAAUGGGAAGAGCCCAAACCAUGUGGUUUCGACCAUGUGGGGUUGUAGGGCCGCCGGACGUGAUUCUGGAGUAGGCAGGAGAAGUCGGCUGGAAAGCCGCGCCGGAGCGAGUGAAAGCCUCGUAUCCGAAACCGAAAAGGACACAGGCGGUACCUGAGUACCGCGGGGCACGAGAAACCCCGUGGGAAUCCGGGAGGACCAUCUUCCAAGGCUAAGUACGAAUCAGCGACCGAUAGUGAACCAGUACCGUGAGGGAAAGGUGAAAAGAACCCCUGUCAGGGGAGUGAAAGAGAAUCUGAAACCUGUUGCUUACAAGCUGUGGGAGCCACAUAACGGUGGUGACCACGUGCCUUUUGCAUAAUGAGUCAGCGAGUUAAUCUGUCGUGCGAGGUUAAGCGAGAGCGGAGCCGUAGCGAAAGCGAGUCUGAUAAGGGCGACAAGUACGGCGGAUUAGACCCGAAACCGGGUGAUCUAUCCAUGAGCAGGUUGAAGCAAGGGUAAAGCCUUGUGGAGGACCGAACCAGUAUCGGCUGAAAACGAUUUGGAUGACUUGUGGAUAGGGGUGAAAGGUCAAUCAAACCCGGUGAUAGCUGGUUCUCCCCGAAAUAUAUUGAGGUAUAGCCUCGGGGAUUGUCUGUCGGAGGUAAAGCACUGACAAGGCUAGGGGUCCUACCAGAUUACCAAACCUUUUCAAACUCAGAAUGCCGACAAGAUGUACCCCGGGAGUCAGACGGCGGGUGCUAAGGUCCGUCGUCGAGAGGGUAAGAGCCCAGAUCGACAGCUAAGGUCUCGAAAUCCAUGCUCAGUGGUGAAGGUGGUGGAGUUGUACAGACAGCCAGGACGUUGGCUUAGAAGCAGCCAUCGUUUAAAGAAAGCGUAAUAGCUCACUGGUCUAAUGACUCUGCGCCGAAAAUGUAACGGGGCUAAGCAUGGUACCGAAGCUUCGGAUUCCUCUUUUGAGGAGUGGUAGGGGAGCGUUCUCUAUGGGCAGAAGCUGCAUUGUAAAGUGCGGUGGACGGUAGAGAAGUGAUUAUGCUGACAUGAGUAACGAUAAAACAGGUGAAAAACCUGUUCGCCGAAAACCCAAGGUUUCCUGGGUAAAGUUAAUCUUCCCAGGGUGAGUCGGACCCUAAGGCGAGGGCGAAAGCCGUAGCUGAUGGAAAACGGGUUAAUAUUCCCGUACUUCUUGUGGUGUGCGAUGGAGGGACGCAGAAAGAUAGGUGGGCCAACUGUUGGAUGUUGGUGCAAGCUGGUAGGAAUGCCUCGCCGGCAAAUCCGCGAGGUGAAUCCGAGAAGCGAGUCCGUGGGCGCAAGCCCUGAAGCCAUUGAGUCUCCGCUGCCAAGAAAAGCUCCUAAGUUUAGCCAUGAGGAUCCGUACUGCAAACCAACUCAGGUGGGUGGGAUGAAUAAUCCGAGGCGCUCGAGAGAACUCUGGCCAAGGAACUCGGCAAAAUGACCCCGUAACUUCGGAAGAAGGGGUGCUUUUUCAGGUGACCAUUUUUACAUUGGAAGCCGGAGGAAGCCGCAGUGAAUUGGUGGUGGCGACUGUUUACUAAAAACAUAGGUCUGUGCGAAGUCGCAAGACGACGUAUACGGACUGACGCCUGCCCGGUGCCGGAAGGUUAAGAGGAGAGGUCAGCGCAAGCGAAGCCUUGAAUCGAAGCCCCGGUAAACGGCGGCCGUAACUAUAACGGUCCUAAGGUAGCGAAAUUCCUUGUCGGGUAAGUUCCGACCUGCACGAAUGGCGUAACGAUCUCCACACUGUCUCGGCCAGAGACUCGGUGAAAUUGAAGUCGCGGUGAAAAUGCCGUGUACCCGCAGAAAGACGGAAAGACCCUGUGCACCUUUACUAUAGCUUGACAUUGGAUUUUGGGCCUACAUGUGUAGGAUAGGUGGGAGGCAAUGAAAUCUGUACGCCAGUAUGGAUGGAGCCACUGUUGAAAUACCACCCUUGUAUGUCUAAGGUCCUAACUCCACGCAGUGAACCUGCUGGAAGACAUUGUCUGGUGGGUAGUUUGACUGGGGCGGUCGCCUCCUAAAGAGUAACGGAGGCAUGCAAAGGUUCCCUCAGGCUGUUCGGAAACCAGCCGUUGAGUGCAAACGCAUAAGGGAGCUUGACUGCAAGAGAGACAUCUCGAGCAGGUACGAA